GAUGAAGAACGUAGCGAAAUGCGAUACGUAAUGUGAAUUGCAGAAUUCAGUGAAUCAUCGAAUCUUUGAACGCAUAUUGCGCUCUCUGGUAUUCCGGAGAGCAUGCUUGUUUGAGUAUCAGUAAACACCUCAACUCCCUUUUCUUUUUUGAAAUUGGAGCUGGACUUGAGUGAUCCCAACGCUUUCUUCCAAGAAAGUGGCGGGUUGCUUGAAAUGCAGGUGCAGCUGAACUUUUCUCUUAGCUAUAAGCAUAUCUAUUUAGUCUGCCUAAAAAACAGAUUAUUACCUUUGCUGCAGCUAACAUAAAGGAGACUAGUUCUUGUGCUGACUGAUGCAGGAUUCACAGAGACAGCUUCGGAUGACUUUGUAAACUCGAUCUCAAAUCAAGUAAGACUACCCGCUGAACUUAAGCAUAUCAAUAAGCGGAGGA
rnacentral:misc_RNA from 1 species